rnacentral:rRNA from 1 species
UACAGAGGGUGCAAGCGUUAAUCGGAAUUACUGGGCGUAAAGCGCGCGUAGGUGGUUUGUUAAGUUGGAUGUGAAAGCCCCGGGCUCAACCUGGGAACUGCAUCCAAAACUGGCAAGCUAGAGUACGGUAGAGGGUGGUGGAAUUUCCUGUGUAGCGGUGAGAUGCGUAGAUAUAGGAAGGAACACCAGUGGCGAAGGCGACCACCUGGACUGAUACUGACACUGAGGUGCGAAAGCGUGGGGAGCAAACAGG